ACCCUAUUAUUGAGAAUAGAAAAUUGUAAGUAAAUAUUAAUUACGAAAGCAAAAAAUUAUGGCGGUAUUUUAAGCUUUUCAGAGGAAUUUGCUCUUUAAUGGAUAAAACACCUAAAUCUUACUUAAAUUAGUGCUUUUCAGUUUGUAUACCACUAUUACAAUAAUAAUUUGUUAUUAUUAUUAAUAUUCUUGUGUUAGAAGAAAAUUAAGUCAAGGUGCAGCAUAAAUUUAUGAAUGAAGUGAAUUACAUUUCUUUUAAGAAAAAUAAAAUUGAAAUAAAAUAUUUAGGAUUUGAUAGUAAAAUUAAAAUAUAAAGUUAAUUUGAAUUAAGCUCUAAAAUAUGUAC
rnacentral:rRNA from 1 species